rnacentral:rRNA from 1 species
AUUGAACGCUGGCGGCAUGCCUUACACAUGCAAGUCGAACGGUAACAGGUUAUGCUGACGAGUGGCGAACGGGUGAGUAAUAUAUCGGAACGUGCCCAGUCGUGGGGGAUAACGUAGCGAAAGCUACGCUAAUACCGCAUACGAUCUACGGAUGAAAGCGGGGGAUCGCAAGACCUCGCGCAAUUGGAGCGGCCGAUAUCAGAUUAGGUUGUUGGUGAGGUAAAAGCUCACCAAGCCUGCGAUCUGUAGCUGGUCUGAGAGGACGACCAGCCACACUGGAACUGAGACACGGUCCAGACUCCUACGGGAGGCAGCAGUGGGGAAUUUUGGACAAUGGACGCAAGUCUGAUCCAGCAAUGCCGCGUGCAGGACGAAGGCCUUCGGGUUGUAAACUGCUUUUGUACGGAACGAAACGGUGAGCUCUAAUACAGUUUGCUAAUGACGGUACCGUAAGAAUAAGCACCGGCUAACUACGUGCCAGCAGCCGCGGUAA